GGUUAAGCGACUAAGCGUACACGGUGGAUGCCCUGGCAGUCAGAGGCGAUGAAGGACGUGCUAAUCUGCGAUAAGCGUCGGUAAGGUGAUAUGAACCGUUAUAACCGGCGAUUUCCGAAUGGGGAAACCCAGUGUGAUUCGUCACACUAUCAUUAACUGAAUCCAUAGGUUAAUGAGGCGAACCGGGGGAACUGAAACAUCUAAGUACCCCGAGGAAAAGAAAUCAACCGAGAUUCCCCCAGUAGCGGCGAGCGAACGGGGAGCAGCCCAGAGCCUGAAUCAGUGUGUGUGUUAGUGGAAGCGUCUGGAAAGGCGUGCGAUACAGGGUGACAGCCCCGUACACAAAAAUGCACAUACUGUGAGCUCGAUGAGUAGGGCGGGACACGUGGUAUCCUGUCUGAAUAUGGGGGGACCAUCCUCCAAGGCUAAAUACUCCUGACUGACCGAUAGUGAACCAGUACCGUGAGGGAAAGGCGAAAAGAACCCCGGCGAGGGGAGUGAAAAAGAACCUGAAACCGUGUACGUACAAGCAGUGGGAGCACGCUUAGGCGUGUGACUGCGUACCUUUUGUAUAAUGGGUCAGCGACUUAUAUUCUGUAGCAAGGUUAACCGAAUAGGGGAGCCGAAGGGAAACCGAGUCUUAACUGGGCGUUAAGUUGCAGGGUAUAGACCCGAAACCCGGUGAUCUAGCCAUGGGCAGGUUGAAGGUUGGGUAACACUAACUGGAGGACCGAACCGACUAAUGUUGAAAAAUUAGCGGAUGACUUGUGGCUGGGGGUGAAAGGCCAAUCAAACCGGGAGAUAGCUGGUUCUCCCCGAAAGCUAUUUAGGUAGCGCCUCGUGAAUUCAUCUCCGGGGGUAGAGCACUGUUUCGGCAAGGGGGUCAUCCCGACUUACCAACCCGAUGCAAACUGCGAAUACCGGAGAAUGUUAUCACGGGAGACACACGGCGGGUGCUAACGUCCGUCGUGAAGAGGGAAACAACCCAGACCGCCAGCUAAGGUCCCAAAGUCAUGGUUAAGUGGGAAACGAUGUGGGAAGGCCCAGACAGCCAGGAUGUUGGCUUAGAAGCAGCCAUCAUUUAAAGAAAGCGUAAUAGCUCACUGGUCGAGUCGGCCUGCGCGGAAGAUGUAACGGGGCUAAACCAUGCACCGAAGCUGCGGCAGCGACGCUUAUGCGUUGUUGGGUAGGGGAGCGUUCUGUAAGCCUGUGAAGGUGUACUGUGAGGUAUGCUGGAGGUAUCAGAAGUGCGAAUGCUGACAUAAGUAACGAUAAAGCGGGUGAAAAGCCCGCUCGCCGGAAGACCAAGGGUUCCUGUCCAACGUUAAUCGGGGCAGGGUGAGUCGACCCCUAAGGCGAGGCCGAAAGGCGUAGUCGAUGGGAAACAGGUUAAUAUUCCUGUACUUGGUGUUACUGCGAAGGGGGGACGGAGAAGGCUAUGUUGGCCGGGCGACGGUUGUCCCGGUUUAAGCGUGUAGGCUGGUUUUCCAGGCAAAUCCGGAAAAUCAAGGCCGAGGCGUGAUGACGAGGCACUACGGUGCUGAAGCAACAAAUGCCCUGCUUCCAGGAAAAGCCUCUAAGCAUCAGGUAACAUCAAAUCGUACCCCAAACCGACACAGGUGGUCAGGUAGAGAAUACCAAGGCGCUUGAGAGAACUCGGGUGAAGGAACUAGGCAAAAUGGUGCCGUAACUUCGGGAGAAGGCACGCUGAUACGUAGGUGAAGCGACUUGCUCGUGGAGCUGAAAUCAGUCGAAGAUACCAGCUGGCUGCAACUGUUUAUUAAAAACACAGCACUGUGCAAACACGAAAGUGGACGUAUACGGUGUGACGCCUGCCCGGUGCCGGAAGGUUAAUUGAUGGGGUUAGCGCAAGCGAAGCUCUUGAUCGAAGCCCCGGUAAACGGCGGCCGUAACUAUAACGGUCCUAAGGUAGCGAAAUUCCUUGUCGGGUAAGUUCCGACCUGCACGAAUGGCGUAAUGAUGGCCAGGCUGUCUCCACCCGAGACUCAGUGAAAUUGAACUCGCUGUGAAGAUGCAGUGUACCCGCGGCAAGACGGAAAGACCCCGUGAACCUUUACUAUAGCUUGACACUGAACAUUGAGCCUUGAUGUGUAGGAUAGGUGGGAGGCUUUGAAGUGUGGACGCCAGUCUGCAUGGAGCCGACCUUGAAAUACCACCCUUUAAUGUUU
rnacentral:rRNA from 1 species